rnacentral:rRNA from 1 species
CGGACGGGUGAGUAAUGUCUGGGAAACUGCCUGAUGGAGGGGGAUAACUACUGGAAACGGUAGCUAAUACCGCAUAACGUCGCAAGACCAAAGAGGGGGACCUUCGGGCCUCUUGCCAUCAGAUGUGCCCAGAUGGGAUUAGCUUGUUGGUGGGGUAACGGCUCACCAAGGCGACGAUCCCUAGCUGGUCUGAGAGGAUGACAAGCCACACUGGAACUGAGACACGGUCCAG